CAAGCACCACCUACACAGGCACCCCCUACUAACCAAGCACCCCCUACCCAGACACCCCCUACACAGGCACCACCAACACAGGCACCCCCAACACCUACUAACCAAGCACCACCUACACAGGCUCCACCAACACCCACUAACCAGGCUCCUCCAACACCUACUACCCAAGCACCACCUACACCCACUACCCAAGCUCCACCUACACCCACUGGUUCUCCUCCUCCAGUUAACACCCAAACACCACCGGCUCAGCCACCACCAACUGCUUCACCACCCCCCACAGUUUCAUCCCCACCUCCUGUUGUAACUUCUCCACCACCAGCACCUCCUACUCCUAUUGCUUCUCCUCCUCCACCAGUGAACUCUCCACCUCCUCCAGCAG
rnacentral:lncRNA from 1 species